rnacentral:rRNA from 1 species
AUACGGAGGGUGCAAGCGUUGUUCGGAAUUACUGGGCGUAAAGCGCGCGUAGGUGGUCUGUUAUGUCAGAUGUGAAAGUCCACGGCUCAACCGUGGAAGUGCAUUUGAAACUGGCAGACUUGAGUACUGGAGGGGGUAGUGGAAUUCCCGGUGUAGAGGUGAAAUUCGUAGAUAUCGGGAGGAAUACCGGUGGCGAAGGCGACUACCUGGCCAGAUACUGACGCUGAGGUGCGAAAGCGUGGGGAGCGAACAGGAUUAGAAACCCCGGUAGUCC